UGCCUACCAUAUGCCACUCGUACUUACCUCGGCCUUUGAACCAAAAGCCUUGGGUGCGUUCUUUUUUUAUUUUUCAGGUAAGUUUCAAUAAGCUUAUAUUCCUAAGUUUUUUUUAUGAAGGUAUUUCAUUGGAAAGGCACCAAGGGGACCGAUAGUUAGAAAAGCAGAAGAAAUACAUGAAAAAAUAGUUUGAAGGGGGAGGGGGUGGUUUAUGCUGGCUGGCUAUUCUAGGAGCAGAACUACUCCGGUAACAUACUACUGAGAGGUAACAUACACUCGGUGGAUCAGCCAAUGUGCAUGAAAGUAACCUUCCCCCCCCC
rnacentral:lncRNA from 1 species